CAGGGAAACACUUUGAAGUGGUCUUGGCACUAUCUGUAAAGGUGGAUCUUAAACAUGAACGGAAGGUCAGAUCUAUUAGUUCUGAGGAAUUCUACUAUGGAUACCGAAGGCCAAGACUUUCAUUCAUCAGAUAUCCUUAUCCGUUUCUGGUUCCCAUAUUUCC